GCCUGGGUGGCUCAGUCGGUUAAGCGUCCGACUUUGGCUCGGGUCAUGAUCUCACGGUUCGUGGGUUCGAGCCCCGCACCGGGCU
rnacentral:tRNA from 1 species